AAGAAAGAAAGAAAUGUCAGCUGAACUAAGUAAUAGUGUACUUGGUGAUGUAGUUGGUUUGCAUUUUGGCUACAAUUUUUAAUCUCAUUGCAAACUGAUAACAAACAGUUCUCAGACAGGCAGCCAGUCACGGACAACAUGAUUCAAUCAAUGAGAAGAGAUGUACAGUGAACCCUACCUCCGCAGCAGAUUAAUGCUGGCAUAUUACAUAUAAUAUAAAUUCUGAGAAUAAGGAAAGUUUAUGUGUAUAUUGUAUGGUGUUUUUUCUAAAAUACUUUAUCUCAUUUCAUCCUUAAUAAGCCUAUAAAAUAGACAAAGUGGCAUUACCCCAUACACAAGCUAAAAACAACACCUGGCCGGUGUUGAUAGGUGGUUUGAGUUCCACCCUGUGCACUGAAGGGUCUGGGGUUGGAUUCCCAGUUAGGUCACAUACCUGGGUUUCAGGUUCGAGCCCCGGAAGGGUGCAUGCACAUAAGGCAACUGAUCAAUGUUUCUUUCUUUUUUUCUCUCUCCCCCUCUACCUCACCCACUCCCUCUCUCUCCUCUUCUCUCUAGAAUCAAUGAAAAACAUAUUCUCACUUUUUAAAAACAGACAAUUAUGAACCAAAAGCAUCUGGGCCCAGAUCACCUAGCUAAUUUUAGAGGCAGAAUCUAGAACAGACCCCUUUAUCUCCUAUCCACUAAUGAAAACUGAAAAGUAAGGGCUAUUACUCAGAAGCUCACCUUUAGUGAUGCUGAGUGUGUUAUCACCACUUGCUACAAAAUCAUAAAGUGCAACAAAGAGAUUAGGAUCACUCUCAGUGGCUCCCAGCAAGUUUUCCUUGGAGCUCCACCUGAUGGCCUCGUUCAGUGCUUGGGGUUCAACAUCACAACCAUAGGGGCGGUGCAAGGCUUCUGAAAGACAUAAGAGGAAAAAGAAAUUCACAGUAAGUUCAUCUGAAAUUCACAGCUGGAAAUUCAUUUGAAUUCAGUAAGUACGCAGUAUUUUAGCUGCUGGCAUAGAUGGACGGCUCCAGGGAGGGACAUAACUAUACAGUUGUAGAAUAAUGAAGAAUGAGCAAAUGUCCCCUAAACCCAAGAGAAAUCUACUUGUUGAAAAUGUAACAAGAUAGAGAAAAGACAAAAUGAAAAGAACACAGUUAACUGUGAUUUAUAUGCAGUCACCUAAAUCAGAAACUAACAGGAAAAGCAGUUUUCUCAAAAUGGAAAGAAGAAAUCUCAAAAAGAACUGGCAAUUUGUUUUAUAAAAAUACAAUAUUUUGUUAUGGUGGAGUGGUGGUUUUAAGAAGGAAUAGUUAUGUUUUAUAAAUCCUCCCAAACUCCCCUCCUUCCCUUACUCUGUCCAUAUAAAACAAAUUGUGAAAAAGAUAACAGAUUUUAAGAAAUAUGUACAUAUUGUGUAAAUCCAGAUCCUCCAUUUACAUGUAAAAAUAGUGCUUCUAGAAAAAACAAUCCUAAAAUUACCUGUUAAACAACAGAAAAAUGUUUUGGUUUCAAACAAUAUUCUUACCAUUCCAAAAUAAUUUUGUGUUACCAUGCAACGCUGUCUAUAAUAGUUUACAAUUGUUGUUUUAAUGAAAAAAAUUCUACCCUAUUUUCUUUUCCUUGGUGAUACAUUUUUGUAAAAUAGGAACUUAAAUGAAUGCUCUAGAAAAUAUCACCAACAAUGUACAUUUAUUGAGUUUCUGUCAUGUGUAAUGGUGAAAGCCUUGUAAGACCUGGUUUCUUCCUCAAGGCUUUAUGGUUCUUAAGUUUAGUCAUACUAUACAAAACAUCUUUUUACAGCCCAGGUCAAUUAUACAAAAAAUACUCUGUUCUUCUAGUAGCAAUUUUCUUAAGAACUGGAAUUAUUUUUAGCAGCUAUGUGCCACUAAAUUUUCUAUUAUGUCUCUCUUUCUCCUCCAAUCAUUUUUAAUUUAAAACUGGUUUUUAUCAUAUUUACAGGAGAAUAAGCCUUUAAUCUGUGGUUUUAUUUCUUUUCAAAUCCAUUCCCUCCUCUCCAUCUCUAUAGCCAACGCCUUAGUUCAAAUCCCCAUCGUCUCUCACCUGGACUACUGCCUCCAGUCUUGUCUCCCUCAAAUCCAUCCUCCACACAGCUGGCAAAGUGAUCUAUUCAAAACAAAAAUUUGACCAUGUCACUCUUCUUAAGAUUAUUCUUCAAUAGUUUACCAUCAAGCUAAAAUCUCUUUAAUAUGGUCUUCAAGGGCUUUAAGAUCAGGUCUCUUAUUUCUCUAGCUUUACCUCCACCCACUCCACAUCUCAAAUUUUAAAUGUUAACAUACACUGUGAUGCUUCCUAUCUUUUUGCCUUUGUUCACACUGUCCAGUCUAUCUGGAAUGUGGUCUCAUUCCACACUUUUCUUGACUGGCUGACUCAUUUCAUAACACUCAUCUCCAGUAACCUCCCCUAAGAAGCCUCAUAGAUUCCUCCUCCUAGUGCUCUCAAAAAAAACAUUGCAUUUGCUGUAUUAAUACCUUCUAUCUUUAUCUUUCCUAUAUCCUCAAUUCAUGUUUGUCUCCCAAACCUUACAAAGUAUUCUUUGGCAUAAGAAUGGCACUUUUUCUUUCUAGCAAGGAGUUAUAUGUGUUCAAUAACUGUUGAUUGAAUGAAUGACCAAAUUACACAAAAACAUAAGUGACAGAAAACAAUGGCAUGUAUUUUAAUAUUAAAAUAGCAUUAACCAAUGUUUUAAAAAUGGCUGCAUCACUGUCUAUACAUGAAAUAGACAGAAAUCCCUGUUGUAGGUUGAUCUGUAAUUCUUAACAGUUUUAGAGUUUAUUUCACUUCAUCACAUUCCUUCUUCUCUUAAAAGAAAUAUGUAUUUAAAAUUCCACAGCUAAUUAAAUUUUAUUUUAAAUUUAGAAUAACUAUGACAAACCUAAAGAUAUGUCCAGAUGUCCUGACAGUUAAUUUGAAACAAUUGUGUUGCUCUUUGUUUAAAGGCAGAGUUAUAGUGACUGGGAAUUAGAAUUAUAAAAUGAACAAAACACUGUAUUAUAUGAAACAUCCUUUAAACUGGCCACAUGUUCUAUGUUAUUACUUAUUCUAAUGAAAAAUUAUCUACUUUAGCAGAAUUUUCAUUGGGUUAUGAAAUGACAAC